rnacentral:misc_RNA from 1 species
GGAAAGAUAUGAACUGGCUGAGAUAAGAAAAAGAUGGGCUACUUUACCUGAGCUGAUCCCUGAUGAAGAGCGAACACGUGGAAGAUGCCCCUUAACACCCCAUGAAGUUGGACUUAUGCUGCGGGCGCUUGGAUUCAAAAAUGACACAUACCUUUAUGUUGCAUCCGGUGAAGUAUAUGGUGGAGAAAAAUCUCUGCAGCCACUAAAGGAGCUGUUCCCAAACUUCUAUACAAAAGAGAUAGUUGCUGGUGAUGAGCUGAAACCUUUUCUUCCCUACUCUUCUCGUCUUGCAGCAAUCGACUAUGUUGUGUGUGAUGAAAGUGAUGUCUUUGUAACCAACAAUAAUGGGAACAUGGCUAAGAUCCUUGCUGGUAGUAGGAGGUACAUGGGGCACAAGAGGACGAUCAGACCAAAUGCGAAAAGGCUCAGUGCAUUGUUCAUGGCACGGGAUAAGAUGGAUUGG